rnacentral:rRNA from 1 species
UGUGAACCUUACCUCAGUUGCCUCGGCGGGAACGCCCCGGCCGCCUGCCCCCGCGCCGGCGCCGGACCCAGGCGCCCGCCGCAGGGACCCCAAACUCUCUUGCAUUACGCCCAGCGGGCGGAAUUUCUUCUCUGAGUUGCACAAGCAAAAACAAAUGAAUCAAAACUUUCAACAACGGAUCUCUUGGUUCUGGNAUCGAUGAAGAACGCAGCGAAAUGCGAUAAGUAAUGUGAAUUGCAGAAUUCAGUGAAUCAUCGAAUCUUUGAACGCACAUUGCGCCCGCCAGCAUUCUGGNGGGCAUGCCUGUUCGAGCGUCAUUUCAACCCUCGAGCCCCCCCCGGGGGCCUCGGUGUUGGGGGACGGCACACCAGCCGCCCCCGAAAUGCAGUGGCGACCCCGCCGCAGCCUCCCCUGCGUAGUAGCACACACCUCGCACCGGAGCGCGGAGGCGGUCACGUCGUAAAACGCCCAACUUUCUUAGAGUUGACCUCGGAUCAGGUAGGAAUACCCGCUGAACUUAAGCAUAUCAAUAAGCGGAGGAAAAGAAACCAACAGGGAUUGCCCCAGUAACGGCGAGUGAAGCGGCAACAGCUCAAAUUUGAAAUCUGGCCCCCAGGGCCCGAGUUGUAAUUUGCAGAGGAUGCUUUUGGCGCGGUGCCUUCCGAGUUCCCUGGAACGGGACGCCAUAGAGGGUGAGAGCCCCCGUCUGGUCGGACGCCUAGCCUGUGUAAAGCUCCUUCGACAAUCGAGUAGUUUGGGAAUGCUGCUCUAAAUGGGAGGUAUAUGUCUUCUAAAGC